rnacentral:rRNA from 1 species
UACGGGGGGAGCAAGCGUUGUUCGGAUUACUGGCGUAAAGGGCGCGUAGGCGGUCAGCACAAGUCAGUUGUGAAAUCUCCGGGCUUAACUCGGAAAGGUCAACUGAUACUGUGCGACUAGAGUGCGGAAGGGGCAACUGGAAUUCUCGGUGUAGCGGUGAAAUGCGUAGAUAUCGAGAGGAACACCUGCGGCGAAGGCGGGUUGCUGGGCCGACACGUGACGCUGAGGCGCGAAAGCCAGGGGAGCGAACGGG